GUCUAAGGCCAUACCACCCUGAACGCGCCCGAUCUCGUCUGAUCUCGGAAGCUAAGCAGGGUCGGGCCUGGUUAGUACUUGGAUGGGAGGAAGGUUUAAAGGCAAAGUCAAGGCAAUGGAAA
ensembl:rRNA 5S_rRNA 5S ribosomal RNA